GGAGUUGUGCUCAGUGGUAGAGUACUUGUCUGGCAUACACGAGGUACUGGGUUCGAUUCUCAGCACCA
rnacentral:tRNA from 1 species